GACGAACGCUGGCGGCGUGCUUAACACAUGCAAGUCGAACGGAAAGGCCCUGCUUUUGUGGGGUGCUCGAGUGGCGAACGGGUGAGUAACACGUGAGUAACCUGCCCUUGACUUUGGGAUAACUUCAGGAAACUGGGGCUAAUACCGGAUAGGAGCUCCUGCUGCAUGGUGGGGGUUGGAAAGUUUCGGCGGUUGGGGAUGGACUCGCGGCUUAUCAGCUUGUUGGUGGGGUAGUGGCUUACCAAGGCUUUGACGGGUAGCCGGCCUGAGAGGGUGACCAGCCACAUUGGGACUGAGGUACGGCCCAGACUCCUACGGGAGGCAGCAGUGGAGAAUAUUGCACAAUGGGCGGAAGCCUGAUGCAGCAACGCCGCGUGCGGGAUGACGGCCUUCGGGUUGUAAACCGCUUUCGCCUGUGACGAAGCGUGAGUGACGGUAAUGGGUAAAGAAGCACCGGCUAACUACGUG
rnacentral:rRNA from 1 species